rnacentral:rRNA from 1 species
UAGUCGGGACCUAAGCUGAGGCCGAAAGGCGUAGGUGAUGGACAACAGGUUGAUAUUCCUGUACUACCGAUAACCGUUUGAGAGAAGGGAUGACACAGUAGGAUAAGCUAAGCACACUGUUGGUUAUGUGUGCCCAAGCAUUGAGGCAGGCAAAGUAGGCAAAUCCGCUUUGAUAAUGCUGGGAUGUGAUGGGGAGCGAAAUUUAGUAGCGAAGUAGCUGAUUUCACACUGUCAAGAAAAGUCUCUAUCGAGGUUAAAG